GGGGUUGUGGCUCAGUGGUAGAGUGCUCACCUCACAUGUGUGAGGCCCUGGGUUCGAUCCUCAACACCA
rnacentral:tRNA from 1 species